AUGGCAGGACGGCUUUCUCUUAGAAAGUUUAUCAUGCUACAACCAAGAUUUAUGAAUUCUGAUACACAUUCUACAGACCUUGGACAAAAUCUGUACAAGAUAUAGUUAAGAAACAUUAUUUUAUUCUUCUAGAUGUGACUGAAUUGAUAAAUAGAGUUCCCAAUCCUGAUGAAGUUGUUUGGAAUUUGUAUAUGCAAAGCUAUAGGCAGAUGCUACAAACUGGUCUCAUUGGGUCGUUCCAAAAUUUAAACAUCAGCAGGAUUGGGUUUAGUUUGUGGUGGUGAAGGUGUUGGCAAUAGAUUAGGAGGGUCUUUAUUUUCCAGCUUGAUACAAUUAGUAAUAAGCAACUUUUUUUUUUGGUAAGUCACUAAUCUGUGAUGUAAAAUGCCCCAAAUAAAACUGGAAUUGAAGAAAGGCACCCUUAUGUUAACUUAUAUUUGUGUUGCAGUAAACAAAUUGUUUACUUUUGCCUUCUGUAAAGUUACCUAGAACGCAGAGCAUCUGUGAACAGCGUAAGCAAGCACAAGCUUUUCACAGUUCAGUUAAUUCUAAUUAGCUUUUAUACUAUAAAAGCUACUAUGUUGUCCCUUGACGGUUAUGUGCUCAUGGUGUUCCCACGCCACAAAACUAAAUCAUAAAGCAUCUGAAAAAACUCCUACCAAGCCAAGAUUUAUAAUAACUGCCUUUUGAUGAAUGGCUGGAAUAAAGGUCAAAGCCAUACUUCACAGGUCCUGUCCUGCUCUCGGGUCAGUUGAAGGUGUUUGGCACUUGCCAGGAAAUAUGUAGCAUCUUCAGGAGAACACUCAAUAUAUACGGCUGUUCCUAUACACAAGGUACCUGAAAUACUAUAGAACUAGACAUUUCUGGGUUUUUGGUUGGCUUUGUUCGAGCUGGAUGCCUUGGGUCUAACCAAAGGCCAUGCAAAAGGGAGCACUGUAGCUUUUAUAAUAAAACUAUUGGAUUAUGCUACCAACUGACAGGAUUACAAAGCAGGUGCUUUUUAUUAAUUGAUGAGCACUAAAGCUCAUUUUUCAUAGAUAAUAUAUAUUUAUUAAAUGUAUUAAUGCGUGUUUUAUAACAUACCCUUUUUUCCCCGCUGAUUGUUGCAUACUGGUAUCGUAUUAAGUACAUCUUUAAAGGAUUUUCAAGACAAUCAAUGUGUACCACGAUGACUGUACAUAAGUAUACAAAACUACAAAGGUUGUAAAGCAUGGGCAAAUGUUUUAUUUUCAAAAUGCUGUUCUUAACAAGAAUAAAGGCUUUACUAUUUACUUACAA
rnacentral:lncRNA from 1 species